GCCUGGAUAGCUCAGUUGGUAGAACAUCAGACUUUUAAUCUGACGGUGCAGGGUUCAAGUCCCUGUUCAGGCG
rfam:Homo sapiens chromosome 6, GRCh38 reference primary assembly.